CGGGGCGUAGCUCAGCCUGGUUAGAGUGCUGCCUUUGGGAGGCAGAAGUCGCGAGUUCGAAUCUCGCCGCCCCGA
rnacentral:tRNA from 2 species